rnacentral:rRNA from 1 species
UACGAAGGUGGCAAGCGUUGUUCGGAUUCACUGGGCGUACAGGGUGUGUAGGCGGUUUGGUAAGCCUUCUGUUAAAGCUUCGGGCCCAACCCGGAAAGCGCAGAGGGUACUGCCAGGCUAGAGGGUGGGAGAGGAGCGCGGAAUUCCCGGUGUAGCGGUGAAAUGCGUAGAGAUCGGGAGGAAGGCCGGUGGCGAAGGCGGCAUCCUGGACCGGCAUUGACGCUGAGGCGCGAAAGCCAGGGGAGCAAAGCGGG